UGGGUCUGGGAGGUGUGUGGGUCUGUUAGGGGUGUUAUGGGGCAGGCGGUGUGUGAGUCCCCCCCCGCCUGGUUCCAGCAGUGUGUGGGGCAGACCGCGUGUGGGGCAGACCCCGUGUGGGGCAGCGGGCAGGGGUUCCUCUGCGGUGCCGGGGUGCUGCUGGGCCCAGCCCCAGGGCCACCUCUCCCUGUGGGGCUGGAGGCGGCACGGCUGUCCCGGGGCACUUGGGGGGUCACCAGGGUGGUGCACGGGGGCUGUUAGGGGGUGCUGCCUCCCUGCCCCACAAGUGGCUAUGGGGUGGGCACUGGGUGCCCUGCAGGUGGUUAUGGGGUGGACUCUGGUUCCUCCCACCCCCCAUGUGGUUAUGGGGUGGGCGCUGGGUGCUCUCCUGCCCCCCAUGUGGUUAUGGGGUGGGCGCUGGCUGCCCCCCGGGUGGUUAUGGGGUGGGCGCUGGGUGCUCUCCUGCCCCCCGGGUGGUCUCCCAGCCCCUCGGGGGGCUGAGCCUGACCCCGACGGUGCAGGCAGCAGGUGCCGGCGCUGAGCCGUGGGGCCGGGAGCGCGGCACCCCACGGCGGGGGGACGGGCCCUGGCUCUCCCUCCGGUGAGCGGGCGGCACCGGCUGCAGGAGACAUCCACGGCCCGGAUUUAAGGACGGGGGAAAAGAAGCCGGGAGGCCGCAGGCUCGUUAGUGCGACCUCGUCAGCCUGGAGACGCAGGAAGGUGGUCACGGGGGGGGGGGUGUCCCUUGUGAGACCCCCAAGCCCCGCUGCGGCGGUGCCGCCCCGUCCCCGCUUCACCCCGGAGCGCGUGGGGUGGGGGACAGCGGUGGGGGAAGGCGCUGCGGGAGGUGGCACAACGGAGCGGGACGGAUCCCGCGGGAACGUGCCCGUGGGGUCGGUGAUGUGUGCGGAAAUACCGUCACCGGAGUGACCUUCUCCAGGGCUUCCGCGUCCCAAACCAGGCCGCGUGGGCAGCACGGGGCACGUCGGCACCUGCCCCAUGGAGGGGCUCCCAGCCGCCUCCGGGGCUGGCUCCGGGGCUGGUGCGAGCAGGGAUGGCUCCUAACGAGGUCCCUGGCUCCGUUUCCCCCCUUCUCCAGUCGCUCCUGUUGGAGCUUCCCAGACUCUCCCUGUUCCGCUAAACCUUUAUCUAAUUUGCGCCUGAAAGCGUCUGCGGGCUCUCGAGUGCCUCCCGCCCUGGAGAAAAUGUCUCCUUUCGUUUAAAAGCUCCCAUCCGCCCGGAUUAGCUUCGGGGCUUCCUCCUCCCAGGUGUCGGCACGUCCCUGAGUGCUCUGUCUUCUCCCCGCGCCCGCUUCCUCGGGUGACGGGGACACCAGCCCGUUUGCCCAGGGACGUGCGGGGUCUAGGGCGAGCCCCCCCGCCCCGAGCACCGCCCUUGCAGACCGGCUCCCGCUGCCCCCCCGACCCAAGCUCGCGCGCGGCCCCCGUCCCCGUCCCCAUCCCCGUCCCCGCGUUGGCACCGUGCUCGGUCCCCCGGCUGUGCCGGGCGGCGGUGGCUGCAGCGCGACCUCCCGCAGCCCCUUCGCUGGGCCCUCAGCAGCGUCCCCGGGCGCCGGGCCGCGUCCCGUCCGGCCCCCGGCCUUGGCCCCCUUCCAGGCAGCAGGAAACCGGCCGCCAGCAGUGCUGGUGUAUUCCUGCCUGCAUUCCUGCCUGUUCCCGUACUCCCGCGUGUGUGACCUGCGUUCGGGUCCCGGCACGGUCGCUCCUCUCCGUGGCCGUUCCCGUGGCCGCGGUGCCCCGGACCAAGGCGCGAGGAGCCGUUCACGGCGGCCGGCGUCGCCUGCAGCCGCGCAGCGCGGCACAGCAGGGACAAGGGGGUCUGUCCCUCUCUCCCCCAGCUCUCAAGGGUGGGACGCUCCAUCCUUAACGUGACCACGUCCCUGCUGCCGCCGGCACCCUCGGGGACGGCCCUGGGCGCUGCCCGUCCGCGCGCCCGGAGACCCCGAAGCUGCUGCCGGAGCCUGGCCCGGGACUGCCUCGUGCGGCCCUUCCGCGUUCGGCUGCGCAAGCAGCGUGUUUGGAGAGACGGGUCGAGCUCACCACGGACGCCAGCAGCCCCCGCGGAGGAAGCGGGGUCCCUGCGCGGGUGAAAAACUGCUUGAAAGGGGCUGGGAGCAGCGGCUGCCUCUGGCUGACGAGGAAGGUCGGUGGCUGCGGGGUUUGCGGGGGUCUGUGCUGGGCUCUGAGCUAUGCGGCACCUCCACAAAGGACCUGGAAAAGGGAAGCAAUACAGAGUUUUGCUCACGGCAUGGAGCAGCAACGCAGGGCAGGACAGAAGAGGGGCAAGUCCGAGGAACUGCAGAGGAACCCUCUGCGAUGAGCACCUGGGCGGUAACACAGCGAAGGCAGUUGGGCAGCGCUGAGCGGAGGACGCUGCCCGCGGGGAAUGUCCCUGCCGUCUCAGCAGUCCGUCAGCGCUCCGCAGCGAGACCACGGGACGGUGAAAAACCUCCCUGGGAGCCAUCAGCCGAGAUUACAAUGAAAACGUGGAGAAAGCUGUGGCUCUGGAAUGAGAAAUUCUGUAUUUGAUGAGGAGUCGUCGUCACCAGAAGCUACUUCUAUGAGGUCUAUCGUUUCUCGAGUUCCCUGCAUUGAAGCAUGUUUUAUUGAUGCUGCUUAAUGCUAAUUUCCUGGUGGAAUACCGUGUGGUGUGUUCCCGGUGUCAAUCAGUACACGUUACACCGAGGCAGCUACAUUCAUCAGCCCAAACUUCCAUCGGAGCUGUUUUCCACAGAGCAGUGUUGAUAGGUGUUAAUUAUCUCCGUAGUCUUUUAAGUCUUCGGUUAUAAAUUCUAGCUUGCACGAGCUGCAUUUUGGCGUGAUUUUAGCACUGUUGCUGCCUGCCAGGUUUCCUCAGGCAUUGAAAAGUGUCUCCAGUGCGGGCCCAGCAGAUCGAACGGGAAAAUUGCCCGUUCUGCUGCGCUCCUGGAUGUCGCUGCAGCAGGGAAGGUUAAUGCGGAGCAGACAUCCAGCUUGGUGGUACCCGAAGUUGUUUCCCGUGUUGCGACCAGGCAGCCUUUCACUGCAUGAAACAGGAUGAAAAUACCUGAGAAUCCCAGGCCAAGGAGCAGGAGAAAAGCAAGCCAGGCCUCCACUUACACAUCUUUCCCUGGCAGUUUUGAACGACAGCGUUUGCCCAGCGCAAACCGGCUGAACCCACGUUGCUCAUCCUCGGCUGAGUCCCGGGGAUGGAUCUGGGGCGGAAGGAGCCGGGCACAGCCCCAGCGCAGGUCCAGCCUGGCCACCAGCAGGUCCCGGCCCCUCGGCGGCUUCUCUGGGCGCGGGCGGAUGCGCCUGGUUAACGUCCCGCUGCCAGGAAGCCCGGAGCAUCCACGGCGCUUUUUCCAGUGGCGUGUUGUAUUUUUAUUGGGUCUCCAGUGUGAACAGACAGGUUUCCCCCCAAAACGUGGGGAGCGGUGGCCCCUGGAGGAUCUGAGUUCCCUAAUCCCGCCGUGCAGAGGGCUUCACGGCACUGGCACCGGGCACUUGGGGCGGGGGCUCCUGUGCCCGCGGUGGCUCCGUUCCCGGCGGAUGGAGAGCAGCAAGCCCGGUCCAGGGGGGCUGCUGGGGCACCGGCGUCCGGCGGCGGCGGGUCCUGUGCAGGGAUCCGGCACGCUGGGGCUCUCCAGGGCAGCCGCUGGCCGGCAGGGAGCUGGGGGGGACGUGAGCGCUCAGGGACGCGUGCAGGGCUUUGCCGUUGGCAAACGGCCCUCGUGCAAGGAGGGGCCACCCUCAGCCGUGGCACCUUCUCCGAGAGACUGGGACUUUCUGCCUUCAAACUCGGUAUUUUCCCGUUGGUGAGGACCUUCAUCCCCGGCCACAUGAAGACUGGGCAGAGCUGAUCCCAGAGCCAUUAGGAGACAGCCCUGGGACGUGGCGGAGGAUGGAAAAGGCAUGGAAAAGGCAAAAGUAGCCCCUGUCUUUACAAGGGAGAAAGGAGAAGCUGGAGACCUGGGGGAUUAGUGAGUUUAGCUUCAUUUCCUGGAAGGAAACUGAAGCAAAUAAUCAGAUGUUUCUGAGCCCCUGCAAGGUGACAAGGAGCUGGGUAACAGACAACCUAAGACUUCUCCUCGAGAUCAGAUUGAUCUGUUUUUCUCUACAAUAUAUAAUAAGCCCAGGAGUAGGGAGAAUCAGGAAAUACCAUGUGUCAUGAGCCCUGCAAGAUAUUUCGACACUGUCUUGCAUAGCAUCCUCACAUGGCAGCUAGGGAAAUAUGAGUCAGAUAAAAAUGUUGAUAGAAACUGAAAAACAUGUUGGAUAAACAUAUCUGGGAGUAACCAGAGCUCAUAGUCCAAACAGGAAGGAAGUGCUGGAAGGGGUUCUGCAGGGAUGUCCCAGGUGGAGCCCUGCUAAUUGUUUUCAUUAGCAAAAUAUACAAUGGGGAGGAGAACAAAGCUGUUAAACUUGCAGACAAUGCGAAGUUGGGAGGGGGUUCAAGGACUUGAGAAAAGAGGAUUACAACGAAAAAUUGAUUCAAAUUUGAAAUGAUCUGGAAAAAAAGGAUGAAGUUGACCGGGACCAGUGCCAUGCGUGUGGUUACAACCAACUGCAUGCAGGUGGGAUGGGGAACAGCCGGACAGGUACUGGCUCUGCAGGAAGGAGCUGAGUUGGUGGUGGACCACAGGCAGAACACGAACUGAAAAUGCCCAAAUGGUGCAAAAACCGGCAGUUCUCUGCCAGCUGCAUGAACAGUGUCAUCUACAAGGCGAAUCCGUCUCCCCUCCACGCUGGCAAUCUCUCUGCUCUGGGCCUGUGCUCAGGUGGGUGUUGCUGUUUGGGAAGAGGUGGAUCAGCUGGAGGGAGUCCAGAGAAAAACAAGCUGGCUGAGCCAGGCUCUCGUGGCUGGUGCAAUCUGGGGUCCGUAGAGGAUGAGCUUUCCCAGUCCGGUGCUCAGCUCCCGCAGGAGAACAUCCCACCACCCCGGCUCCUCUCCACCAGCGGAGUUGAGGUUGCGGCCGGGUGGUGAGUGCAGGGUAGGAGGUGGGUCCCUGUGGUCUCCAGGAGGGGUUUCGGUCUUCCCUUGCUGCAGAAGGUCCCUUGGACGGAUGGUGAUGGAGAGAUGUAACAUUCUUCGUGAGGCGUGUGACUGUUCUUCACGACGUUCAGUUAAAAACAUAGCUCUGUGUCACCCUGCGUGGCAGGUUAAUGAACAAGGAGGAAUUCACGGUGCUCCGGGAGCAGCUGCUAGAGGAAUUCCUCCUCCGAGAGGGCUCUCCCGGUGAGGGCUGCAGAGCCAGUGCUUGGUCUAUCGGCGUCAACAUUUUCAUCAAUGAUCGGAGAAUAAAUACAAAUCUUGGCUGGCAAAACUGUGAGAUGCAGAGAUUAGUAGAGUGGAAAUUAAUGAUGGAGACAGAGCAGUCUCACGGAGCCAUCUGGACUGCUUGGCAAGACGGGCCCCUUCAAAUGAAAUGCAUGUUAAUAGAGAUGGAAAAUAUGUCCGCGAGUAGGGACUGCGCCCUGGCCUUGGAUUUUCAAAGCAGUCAUAGACGAGCAGCUCAUGUGCUCCAGGCUGACACGGGAGCAGAGCCCUGGGAUCUGAGGGACCGCAGAGGUGGGAACGGGAGCAGAUCUGGAAGUGCAGAAAAUGCAGGAAAGAGCCACAGAGGGUGAUGCAGGUGGGGAAAAUGCCUCCUAGCCAGAGAGGAGGAGUUCAAUCUGCUGAGCUGAUCAGGAAGGAGGCUGAAGGCAACUUGUUGUGGAGCAUCAAUGCCGUCAUGAAGAGCAGCGCUGGGUGCUGGUGGCCCUGUCGUCAGGAGGAACAGGACGGUCGGGGACCAGCAGCCGGUAGCUGGAAGCAGACACAUUCAGCUUAGAAAUGAGACACACAUUUGUUAGCUGUGGGGAUAAUUAAGGAAUCCCUGAAUGUACCCCCACAGCGAGCUGUGGCUGAAUCUGCUUGAAACAUUUGCAAAACUCCUAGGAGAAACCACAGAUUUUCCUGAACUGGAAGUUUUCUGUGGAGUCAAUUUAGACAAAUCUCCCACCGUGAAGCUGUGUUUGGGGACGGGGCUGUGGGGGUGAGGAGCCCGUGGGGUGGCCUGGGGACACGCAGGGCUCGAGUGUCCGGUGCGGAGCAGAGUGCUGGUGGCUGCAUGGGGCCGCAUGCAAUUUUCUCAAAUCCUUCAUGGACUUCAGGCCCCAAGGACAGCAAAUACCUCCUGCAUCCUGCAAAUGAUGUUCCUGGUUGUGCCCCUUGCUCGGGUGUUUGUCUGUCUGCAAUAGCUUGCUGCUGCCGGGGCAAGUUUCCAGUCCUCCACCUGCCCUCUGAAGUGCCUGCAGCCCUCCUUGCUUAAUGUGACCGGCUGCUUUUGCAAACCGUGCUCCGUUCUGUCCUCCAAAACCAAUGUGAAAGUGUUCUCUGUUCUCUGCACUGAGAAAAGGCCUCUUUAGUAUGCACACAGAAACAUCACGUGGAACAGUCCCCAAAGUCAGGUCAACUUUACACUCACAGCUCUCCUCCUAGCUCCUCGCUACCAUCCUGUUAAGGACAGGCAUCAGACUGGUUUGACCUGCUUUGCUCUUGACGGGUCUCCGCGGGGUUGUUCCGAAUCCCUGCCUGCAUUCCCGGGAGCACAGGGGCUGCCACCCGGGGCCAGACCCCUGGUUCGGUGUCCAGCAGAGCGCGGGGUCCUUGGGGCCUGCCUUGAGGAGACCUGGCCACCACGGCAGCCGUGCUGAUGCCUACCCCGGGCAUGGUGAGAGGUCUCCGUGCCAAAAGGCUGCAGCUCCACGCAGCUGGGGCAGUUCUGGUCUCCUGGGUCUGCGCAGCUGCCGGUUUGGAGGGGCUGAACCCAGAAAAGGAGCCUUGCAGGGUCUGUGAAACCUCUGAUCCCAGGCAGGACUGGCAAGAGCUGGUGCGUUUGAGCACGCAGCCUGAAGCAUCCCAAGCUGCAUUUGCUGAGCUUCCUCCUUCUUAAGAAGCUCGAUGCCUGAGACUUGCUCCUUUGAUGAACUCUGAAGUGUGAGGAGCUGCUGUGCCAGAGACUCUCUGAUACAACCCAGAAACAAUGCACUGCUGUUAGGAAAAUAAGGGCAUGCCUGCAGCGGAUGCUCAUUCAAGAACACAACGAUGAAGCAAGCUGUAGCUGUGUUUCCCUUAGCGCCUGCCCAGCUUGCAGCAGCCUGAGGUGCAGAGGCUCCCCGACAUGCCCUGGCUGCACGGGGGUGUCCGGGGGUCCUGUUCCUCUGCCCGUCCCCGCGCCAGGGCAGCGGGUUGCUCUUCCGCAGGACAGCGUCAAUACGCAGAGACCGUGUUCGCGACCCUGGUCAGCCUGGCCUGUGCCGACACCGCGGCCACCAAGGGUCACCGCCUGACCGUCACCUCUUGUUGCUCUUCAUCACCCUCUCCUCCCAUCUCCUGCCUGUCCUCCAAAGCGUGCCAGCCCCAAGGCCCUCAGCACCGGCAGCUCCUGUGUCCGUGUCUUCCUCCUCUUCUACAUCACGGUUGUUUUCACCUUCCUCAAGCACUGCUCCAGCCCCUGCCUGGUUCCCUGCGCCCGCGUCCUCGUCACCAGCGUGCAGCUGCUGGUGCCCCACGCUGAGCCCCGUCGCCCACCUGGUGCCGACCGAGACGAUCCAGGACGGGGUGCUGGAGGUUUCCUUCUCGGGGAGGACUGAGCGCUGCAGCUGACCAAGCUGUGGUGAGCUCCUCUCACCUGUGACGAAGGGCACUGCUCCCAGCCUGGCACGGGGCACGCACAUUUUGCUGGGGUGGCCCCAAGCUGCCAGCACGAUGGCUUAGCCUCACACGCAGCAAGCAGCAGUAGCCCUGCACUGGGCCCCACUUCUCCAAUGCAGUCGUCGCUCCUUUUUGCAAAAAGCUCUUGGAUGAAGCUGGGAGGAGAGGGGCAAGGCGCAGCUCCUGCCCUCCUACCCGGUCAGCAGGGCUCCUUGCACUCUCUGUUCUCCACUCAUCCCAGGGCCAGGAACCGCUGGACGCCUCCAGCAAUGCCCCAGGCUGCUCCGAGUACUCUGCCUUUUGCAGGCGUGGUCUGGGUACACCCGGCAGCUCUGGGUAUAUCAUGUAGUCCAGACAUGACUAAAGGACUAAAGAUCAUCUCUGCCGAUGGAAGAGCGGUUUCCGUGCCUGGGAAGUGGGAGCUGUAUUGCAAUUAAUGGGAAGAAUGGCCUGACAGAGGCCUGGAUGCUAACUGGGGGAGAGUGCGUUCUCAGGCAUUUGUUCUGCCCCGCUCCCGUCUUCCCGAGGUGCUCCGGAGCCAUCCUUCUUCCCAGCACCCUGCGGCUGGUCUGCGGCACCCCCGCCUCCAACAGCAGCGAGAGCAGGCGGGUGGGAGAGAAAGCAAGUGAUGGGGGAGCCUCUGUGGCAGGCGCCGAUGGAAAAGUGAAACAAAAGCACUCGCCAACGAUUAAUCAGGACCCCAAAAUAGAAUACUGGCCUUUUUCCCAGCCAAAAGGCCUCCCAUGCUUAGAUAUGCUGUAGCUGUUGUCCAUCUGCGAUAGUGGGAAAGCUCUGGCACUGCAAUAACGCAACUCAAAGUCUACGAGCGGCCCAUGGUGGAGACGCGGCAUCCAGGGUGGCGUGUGAUCGGCGAGGGACUGGGAACGAGCGGUGCUGCUUCCGCACACCUACUUGCAGGCUUGGCCAGCGCAGAGCGCUGUGAAUCACGCCUGAAGAUUUGCCAGGGAAGGCAGGAACAUGUGGAAACUGGGCUGCUUGAGCAGUGCAGACACGUGCGAAGGUGGAGAGGGAGACGGUGGGGUGCAGGGUGCAUGCUGGAAGUGCGCAUGGGGCAACGGAGAUGCAUGAGAAAGAUCCCGCAUUUCCAUUUCUGCAGUCAGUGGGGCAAAGACCCCUGCUGCUCUUCUUCUGCCUCUUUAUGGCCGAGGCAGAGAUUGUCCUAUAUUCGUGAUGCCAGGAGAUGAUCAGAGGAAACCUGUGUCGCUCCCAAGAGGAAACAUGAGGACUGUUGACGCUUGGAGAGUGCGCGUCUGAAAUGUGGGACAAGGUCUGUGCCCUCAAGCAUAGGAGAAGUCCUGUGGCUAUGACUCACUGCGAUUCCCUUUUUGGAUGCAAAAAUUCUGAGCUUAGUGUUUGCUUCCCAUCACAGCUCCCGGGAAUGACGCCUGAUGGCAGGGAGUGGAGGAGGAGGCGUCUGCAAAGCGCAGCCUGGCUCUGUCCCUGCAGACCCGCUCCGGAGCUCGGCAGCGCUGGCACUUGGGUGCCCAAAGCUGGAGCCUUGUCCCUACCAGCGGAGGACAGCCCUCGUCUGCAGACAGGGUUUCUAGCUUGGGAGUAGAUGCCAUUCGCUAGGCGAGUGCUGGGGAGCUGUGAAAGACACUUGUGUUGCCUCCGCCGCGCACCGGGGCGUGUGCGAUCGCUCUGCAUCCCAAUCAGCUGAAAAUAGCAGCGCCGGCGAGGCAGCCUCGGCGUGACGGCAUUGGCAGUGGCUCUGCCCGCGUGCGCCUGCGCGUUGGCACCCGCGGGGCCGCCUGUGUGUGCAUGCAGGCAUGCAUGUGCAUGCACACGCGUGUGUCCUUGCAUGUCCCCAUGGGGACCCAGGCCCUCCCGCUGCUUCCUGAGGGUCUAAGUGAGUUGCACCAGACAGGUCUCCUUUUGCUUCAUGUCUCCACCAGCACAGACUCACGGAAACACGCCGGUGGGACGGGACCUCUGGCAGCCUCUGGUCCACCCCAGCCCCCUUAAGCCAGGGUAGUUAGACCAGGUUGCUCAGUGUCCAGUCACGGUCUGAGGAUCUCUAAGGAUGGAGAUGCUGAAGUGCUUUUGUCCCCUCUCCCAGUGUGUGACCAGCUCAGGGCUGCACCGGUCUGCUCCAGCCUGUCACCAUCGGUCUGGUGCUGGGGGGACCCAGCCUGGACAUGGCACCGGUCAGCCACCUGCAUCCCCCGGGCUGCUGCUGCCUCGAGGGCACCAUGUCUCUUCCAGGACCCCUGAACAUCCUCCCCCAGCCCCGGGGCAGGACUUGGCGGUCGCCUUCGUGGCCCGUGCUGUCCCUGCCAGGCACGUCUCGGCCUGUCGAGGUCCUCUUGGGUAGCAGCCUGCUCGCCGGUGUGUUGACCUCGGGAUCAUCUGGACUUUGUGCUGCUGAUCACCACUUCUGAGCCCAUGAGCCAGCCAAUUUUCCACUCACCUUAUCUUCCAUUUAUUCAGGCCCUAUCUACACAGUUUGGCGUACACGGAUACUGCAACUUGCAGAUGCCAAGGCGAGCAGCACCCUCUGCUCUCCCUGUGUCCGUGCAGGGUCACCUCGUUGCAGGAGGCAGUCAGGCACGACGUGUCCUCGCUAAAUCCAUGCUGACUGUUCCCAGCCCCUUCCCGUCCUUCACGCGCCUGGUCAGGGCUUCCCGGAGGAUUUGCCCCAUCACCUGCCCAGGCACCGAUGUGAGGCCGACCAGCCCGUGGUUCCCAGGCAGAUCCUCUUUCUUGCCCCCUUGAAGAUGGGCACGGUGCUGAUCUUUCUAUUCAGGGUCCUUCCCUGGCCACUGCGGCUUUUCAAAGCUGUUACUCUCAGAGGCCAGGGGGGUAGGUGACACCAUGGGGCAUAGGAUGGGCGACGCGUCCACCCCGUCCCAGCUCAGGCACCGCUGCCUCGUGUAAACUGGCCAAGCUCCGUCUUAAAACUAGCAGGAGUUUUUGCCUCGACUGUUCCAUUAGUCCGGAUCGUUGCUCCCUGUCUCCUCUGGCAGGGAAAACCUCCUGCAAAAAUUGAAAUUGGAUUUCCUGGUCGUUGUGGAGUGUGAGGCUCAGUAUCGUUGCGAAUUAGAUAUCGACUGAGAGAGAGAAAAGAGAGUCUGGGAUUUGCAGGCGGCAGAAGGGAGGUGGGUGACUGUGGCUGCAGAGGACAGUGCUGAGGAACUGAACGGUCCGUGGCGAAGGACAGCUUAAAAUUUGGCGUCUUCACCUGCAGAUCAGUGCAGAAGGCACACUACUGCCGGGAGCCGGGAGCUGAUUAGCAGCGUUUUGGGGGUCUGGGUGGGGACAUCUGGUCAGUGCACAGCGGCGGUCAGGACAGGACGAGCAGGGUGCCGGGACACCGGGGGACGGGGAGCAGCACGGCCAGGACGGUGCAGGGCUGAUGGCCGUUCUGACGCAAGCAACGCAGGACUGCUGAGGGCGAGAAGGUGGAAAAGGACCUGAAAAAAAGCUGAGCUCUUACCUCAGAAAGGAGAUGGAGGAAAACAGACACAGUGACUGGCCAUAGAUAUCUCCGUGGCCUCUCCCGGGCAGACUGGCGCUUUGCUCGCUGCCAGCGCGGUCCCCGGGAAGGCCCCAGCUUUCCCGUGUGUUGCAGGCUGCUCCCUGGAAGCUGCUGCGGCGUGAACGGCUCUUCUGAAUGGCGGAAGGUUUCGGUCCCGACUCGGACCGAUGAAUGCAGAACGCAAGGCGUUUCUGUCCUGGUGACACUGCAGCGAGUCCUGGCUUUGCUGGUGCCUGGGAAGCGCCCAGAGGGAAUGGCACUGAGCAUCUGCUGGUUUGGCCAUGGGGAGACCAGUUUCUCCCCUCAGCCUGACAUAGACGUUUCUCACUCACACCUUCGCUGCCCUGAAACCAGGCAUCCUUCCACGCCACACACCCACGGUUCCCCAGUAACUCGUGUCAGUGCGUGUUGUGCUCCCUUGGGUAUGAUAAAAAUGACAACUAGAAGCUAAAAUACGAUGUUCAGCACCCUCCUUUGAGCCCCAACACACGUGCCAAGCUCUCACCCUGCUAAGGGCAGCAGGAAUGGGUUGUGCCCUGCAGGAAUGGGUUGCUAUCCAGC